UACGACUUUGAGAGAUAAUUCUGACAACAGCAUACUACAUUAUGCCGGGAUGUUAUCUCCAUUGGCAAGCAAAAAGCUUGGUGGUAUUGCAGGUGCAGCCUUGCAAAUGCAGAGAGAAAGGCAGUGGUACAAGGAGGUAGAGAAUAUUGUGGGCCCACUCUCGGGAGCCUCAUCUUUAAACAAAGAUGGUUUGACACCCCCAUAAUUAUUUACCGAGAAACACAAGGAAUUGCUCAAGGAUGGAGAAAAGUGGAUGAAAGAUACAUCGACUUCUUAUACAACUGUCAAUGCCCUCAUUAUUACAAUCAUGUUUGCUGUAGCAUUCACAGUUCCUGGUGGAAACCACCAAGAAACAGGGUUUCCCAUAUUUUUAAACAAAAAGCUAUUUAUGAUUUUUAUAGUUUCGGAUUCUAUUUCGCUAUUUUCUUCCGCAACUUCAGCAUUGAUGUUUUUAAGCAUCCAUAUAUCGCGUUAUGCUGAAGAUGAUUUCCCCAAAUCCUUACCCACAAAGAUGAUAACUGGCAUUUCCACACUCUUCAUCUCCAUUGUGGCCAUGAUGGUUGCCUUUUCUUUUGCCCUAUUCAUCAUGCUUCCGGACAAAUCAUGGAUUAUUACUCCAAUCAUUGUCCUUUCUGGUGUUCCCAUCAUUUAUUUUAUUUGGAUGCACCCUCCCCUUCUCGGAAUUUUCGUAUCUACUUAUGGUGGAGGAAUUUUCGAUAGAAAAGUCAAACGCUGGAUGUAAAUUCUUGAUGGUGUAUGCGAUAUAUUGUGUAACUGUAGCAAUGUAAUGAUUGUCACCUCUAAGAAAGUUUGUAUGCUUGGUACACACUAUGUAAGUGUUUGAUUCCUCUAAUAAAAACCCCAUUGUUCAAA